CCGCGCGGGUGUGCGGCUGGGUCGACGGCGGAGAGCGUCCCGCACGAGGUGGGCUGGGAUUUCAUCGGCGGAGAACAUCCCACACGAGAGGGCGGGCAAGCUCAUCGGCGGAGGGCUUCUCUGCGCUGGGUGAUUAUAAUUUCGCCGCAGUGGACCUCCUGUGCGCAAGGCCUUCAGAGAUUGACAGCGUAGGGGUGGUGGGAGUCAGAGCUGCUAAUACAGCAUGUUCUAGGUCCUGUUUAUUCCUUUUUUGUUCGGCGGCCGAGAGAGGCUGUACGCGAGGAUGUGAAGCUCAGCGGCGGAGAGCUAUCGCCUGCGAGGGCGUGGAGCUCGAUGGUGGCAGAGGAGCGAGUUUGACGAGACUGCAAGUUGGAUCCAAUUUUUUCUCGGGUGACUAGAUCAAGAAUAUGAGGUAAUCUCCUACAAAAAUCCCAAAUCAUGGUUUGAAUUUCAUAUGGUAGGAUCAUCUACAAAGUCACCAGAAAUUAGGUAGUUUAUAUUUCAUAUGGGUGUGCCGAUUUUGUCAUGUGAUAUUCCUGCUGCAUUUUCUGUGAGGAGAUUGCGUGCAUCGCAAACUCAUAGGGCAUGGAAACACAAUUUUUCUGUGUGGUAAUCGGCCUUAACCAGGAGCACGCCCCUGCCGUGUUCUGCCUGAAUGGAUCGAGCUGCAAAAGGGGUUGCUAAUGUACGUGCUAUGUACGUUGCUAGUACAUCUUAAUUGAAACCAAAAUACAACUACUAUAGUACAUCUAGUUUCUGGUGAAAUUUAUUUGCUAGCUAGUAGCUACCUAGAUGAAUCUGUCCCAGCGAUUGCACUUCGCAUCUAGUUUAUGUUGACAGUUUGCAGUGAAUGAUGCAAAAUGCCCGUGAUGUCUGGCAUUUUGAAAUUCAUUCAUCAAUCGGGUAACGAGUCAUACUAUCCUUCAGCUGCAACAUUUCGUACUGAUCUCCAUUUCUGAUCAAUUUUUUUUUUUGGAGACAACUCAUUAUUUAAACCUGGUGUUCUAUCAUUAUUAUCCAUGAGGUUCUCGCGCUAAAUUUGUAUUAUGACCUAUAGUAUGCACCACUAUUAAGUUACAACCCUGAAUGAAAAAGCUAUGUGUUCAAGAUUGUGUUGGACGUGAUAUUUGAUUCGCCAAGUCGCAACACUCCGAUCUUCACUUAUGUAUGUGACAUAAAAAAUUGGAGCAACAUACACAUGUUGGAUAAUUUGGGUUAGUUAAGUUGUAUUGUCAAAAUGCUUAAGUUGGCUACCAAAAUAAAUUAAGUUGGUUCUACAACAUGCUAAUGUUGUGUUUUAUAGUCUAGGCCGUUUUCUUUUUUAUUUUGGAGUAAUAUGCACAAGUUUGCUACUUUGGGUUAAUUAAGUUGUAUGUCAACAUGCUUAAGUUGACUACGGAAAUGUAUUAAGUUGGCUUUACCACCAUGCUUCAGUCUGCUUCUUCUGAAUAUUGCUUGUGUGUUUUUACUGUUAAUUGCUCUGUUUGUGCUCCAACUUAUUUUGGGUCGUCGCUAUCCUAAAUCACUGGACACACAAGUGCUUCAAUUCUGCAUUGCCGCAAACACGUCCACCUGUAAGUAUCACUUUACAUUCAUGAUAAUGCAUAUCAUUGGUCUGACUGUAGAAUGGACAUCUUAUAUUGUUUAGCUGUCACAUGUUUCUAUUUCAUUGGCGAAGUGAGUCCUUUCACUAUAUGUAUAGAUGAAUUGUUUUCUCAAGGGGUCUCUAUAUGUGAAGUGAGCUGAAUCUUCAUAAAAUACCACAGAUAUGUAAAGGGUGACCAUCCUACUAUAUGUUCACAAUCCUAUAAAAUUUUCGACCGUUGAACUGACCCAUUCUGCAAUGUCGGUCUUCUUGUUCUUCUACUGGUGGUCACCUGCUCGAGCUGCUGCCGACUGCGUCAAGGCACAUCCCACCAAAGCGGGGAAACAUCGGGGCAGAGGCCACCGCAGGGGGAGAUGACGAUGCAACGAUCACGCCGACCAGGCAAACGAUUUUGGUUGCUUAUCCCAUGUUCAAAUAACCUAGUUGUUUUCACCCUUUUUGUACAAGUUUGUCUAACCAUGGAUUCUACCCCCGUAGCCGAAUUCCCAGAAUUAGUAGAAUAUUAGUAUCAAGUUGAUAUAGCAAAAUUACCUUAGUUGUUUAUUAUGUAUAUCCUAGGAUUGAUUAGGUGUGCUUUUUUUUGGGCGUUUUUAUGCUAAUUUGCAUACUAUAUGCUAUUUUUUAAGUGGUAGAUUGGUGAGAUAUCACAGUGUUGUUGUUUUGCGUGUAAUACAUAGUUGUGUACUGCUUGUGGUUAAGUUGUCCAUCGAUUGCCUGUUAAGUUGCAUCCUGAUUGCAAGUUGUCCACUUUUUUAGUAGUUGCUUAAGAUAAUGUCUAUUCAUCGGGAUGUUCUUCUAUUGUUCUAAGUUGUUGCAUACAUUACACUUGUUGUUCCGCAACACACACCUAAUUGCAUUUCUAUCUACUUGUGGUAUCCAUUUGGCUUUUCUCUCUCUUUUGAAUUAUGCAUUUGGCCUUCGUAGAUUCAUGAUGCUACCUAAGUUGCUUAUCAUGUUUCAUUAAAUUGAUUAUCCACUUUAGAUUAAGUUGUUCUACACUUUCUCGUGAGUUGCAGUUUGCAGCCCACCAAGUUGUACGUACCAGUCCAACUAAGUUGCUUCAUCUUGCAACUUGGUUUAUGAACUUACGCAAAUAUAGUUUAAUGGAGAUCUGCAUGAGGGGAAUAAGAGAGAGUGCUGGGAGGAAGCCUCACGUGGUCCUGGAGUUGAGCCUGGCUAGCGAUGUACUAGCACGCGAGGGAUGGUCCAGGACGCGCGGGAAUCCAAUCGGGAAAUCCGGGCAUGCGGGAGUCUAGCCGGCGGCGUGCGUUGAGUGCUAGGUUGGAUUAGCUAGCACUCGGAUGCUGGGUUAGACAAACCAGCACCGGAUGCUAGCUAGCCGUGUCCAAUAAAAAAUAAAUCACCAGAAAUGCAGACAACAGCGAUGCCGCGACGACGCCAGGACACAGACAGUGGGGUUGUGCUCCAUUCAAA